GGUGCUGUGGCGCAGUGGGUUAACACCCUGGCCUGCAGCGCCAGCAUCUCAUAUGGGCACAGGUUCGAGACCUGGCUGCUCCA
rfam:Oryctolagus cuniculus chromosome 19, whole genome shotgun sequence.